rnacentral:rRNA from 1 species
GUGGGGAAUAUUGGGCAAUGGGGGAAACCCUGACCCAGCAACGCCGCGUGAAGGAAGAAGGUUUUCGGAUCGUAAACUUCUAUCCUUGGUGAAGAUAAUGACGGUAGCCGAGAAGGAAGCCCCGGCUAACUACGUGCCAGCAGCCGCGGUAAUACGUAGGGGGCAAGCGUUGUCCGGAAUGAUUGGGCGUAAAGGGCGCGUAGGCGGCCUGGUAAGUCUGGAGUGAAAGUCCUGCUUUUAAGGUGGGAAUUGCUUUGGAUACUGUCGGGCUUGAGUGCAGGAGAGGUAAGUGGAAUUCCCGGUGUAGCGGUGAAAUGCGUAGAGAUCGGGAGGAACACCAGUGGCGAAGGCGACUUACUGGACUGUAACUGACGCUGAGGCGCGAAAGUGUGGGGAGCAAACAGGAUUAGAAACCCCGGUAGUCC